GACGAACGCUGGCGGCGUGCUUAACACAUGCAAGUCGAACGGAAAGGCCCUGCUUUUGUGGGGUGCUCGAGUGGCGAACGGGUGAGUAACACGUGAGUAACCUGCCCUUGACUUUGGGAUAACUUCAGGAAACUGGGGCUAAUACCGGAUAGGAGCUCCUGCUGCAUGGUGGGGGUUGGAAAGUUUCGGCGGUUGGGGAUGGACUCGCGGCUUAUCAGCUUGUUGGUGGGGUAGUGGCUUACCAAGGCUUUGACGGGUAGCCGGCCUGAGAGGGUGACCGGCCACAUUGGGACUGAGAUACGGCCCAGACUCCUACGGGAGGCAGCAGUGGGGAAUAUUGCACAAUGGGCGGAAGCCUGAUGCAGCAACGCUGCGUGCGGGAUGACGGCCUUCGGGUUGUAAACCGCUUUCGCCUGUGACGAAGCGUGAGUGACGGUAAUGGGUAAAGAAGCACCGGCUAACUACGUG
rnacentral:rRNA from 1 species